UACAGAGGUCUCAAGCGUUGUUCGGAUUCAUUGGGCGUAAAGGGUGCGUAGGCGGCGCGGUAAGUCGGAUGUGAAAUCUCGGGGCUUAACUCCGAAACUGCAUUCGAUACUGGCGUGCUUGAGGACUGGAGAGGAGACUGGAAUUCAUGGUGUAGCAGUGAAAUGCGUAGAGAUCAUGAGGAAGACCAGUGGCGAAGGCGGGUUCU
rnacentral:rRNA from 1 species